UAGAUGCAAAUAUGGAAAAUGUGUCAAAGAUAGGAGCGGAAAUGAAGUCUGUCAAUGCCGAAAAGGAUACGGUCUAUAUAAACCCGGAGAAUGCAAAAAAUGCGACUGUGGCAAAAAUUCAAUCUGUACCUUCUCUCGCUACGUAAAAGUUUGCAGUUGCAAAGAAGGAUAUGGAAGAAAAGACGGUAUUUGUACAGAAUGCAAAUGUGGUGAAGGUUCAAACUGCACGUUUUUAAAUGACCGGCACAAAACUAAAAAAUGUAUUUGUAAAAAAGGAUAUAAAGAAGAAAACGGUGUUUGU